rnacentral:rRNA from 1 species
AGUGAACGCUGGCGGUAGGCCUAACACAUGCAAGUCGAACGGCAGCACAGUAAGAGCUUGCUCUUACGGGUGGCGAGUGGCGGACGGGUGAGGAAUACAUCGGAAUCUACUUUUUCGUGGGGGAUAACGUAGGGAAACUUACGCUAAUACCGCAUACGACCUACGGGUGAAAGCAGGGGAUCUUCGGACCUCGCGCGACUGAAUGAGCCGAUGUCGGAUUAGCUAGUUGGCGGGGUAAAGGCCCACCAAGGCGACGAUCCGUAGCUGGUCUGAGAGGAUGAUCAGCCACACUGGAACUGAGACACGGUCCAGACUCCUACGGGAGGCAGCAGUGGGGAAUAUUGGACAAUGGGCGCAAGCCUGAUCCAGCCAUACCGCGUGGGUGAAGAAGGCCUUCGGGUUGUAAAGCCCUUUUGUUGGGAAAGAAAAGCAGCAGGUUAAUACCCCGCUGUUCUGACGGUACCCAAAGAAUAAGCACCGGCUAACUUCGUG